rnacentral:lncRNA from 1 species
CACAUGGAGACACCCAUCAUCUAGAUUUUUCCACUCCAAAUGGUGAACCUCACCUGUCUCGGUAGGUCGCUAACCUAAGUAGUGCCCUCGUGCAACAGACAACCUUGGUGAAUCAACUUCUUGAGUGCAUCGAGACGCAGCAUAUGCCCUAGAUAAGGUGUUCAAAAGUUGGACAAGGGCAGAUGAUCAUGACUCUUUCCUACGAUGACAAGCCCCGAUCCCGAUAUUCCCCGAAUACUAGGGUAGGUACGUGCUGGCCGACACCCGAGGGUGACGAAAGCCAUUUAUUGAAUGCAAAUGCUGAGAACAAGAAAUAAAUAAGACUUAUAAAUUUAAAAUAUAAUGAAUAUGCACUUUAAGAACAUGUUCAGAGCACACAUCUAAUCUAGAACACUAAAAGAAUUUAUAUAAAAAUUGAAUGAAUAAAAGAAUGGGUCCUACACCGAGAGGACUCGAAGAUGUCGUUGCGGAAGUGCCUUGAUACCGGGAUUGUAUGCCUCAAUUUUAGUCCUAAAGGGGGCUCAAAACAAACAUGAGUUGACCAAGUUGAUAUAGAUAUAAUAAACUAGUUAUCAACAUACUAACCCCCAGGUUUUAUGAAAACACAUAUAUUAUGACGCAAAUAUGUUUUCCGAAACCUAGCAUGCCGUGCAAUGUCUCAAACCAUAUCUCGUAUAUAUAAUAAUCACUAAUGAAUGUCCAAUAUCCCUCCAAGCCCCGUGCCAGCUCCUCGUCCUUGUGCCAAUUGCCAAAGGAAAAUCACCUUCAGGCCCCGUGCCAGCUCCCUAUCCUUGUGCUAAUUGCCAGAGGAAAAUCAUCUUCAAGCCCUAUGCCAACACUGUACCCUCACUCGUGACAGAAUCUAUCCAUCGCCCCGUGGCGGAAUAGGGACCACUAGGUAAGUACAAAACUAUUGAACAUACAUCUAUUUGAAAUUCAACUUCAUAGUAUAAAGUCAUCCAUCAUCUACACUAUAAAGAGGUGUUCGAAACAUGUUCUAAAUAUUAUAUUUUCAUCCAUCAGAUAUUCUAUAAAGAACACGGGUUAUAGGAAAAAUAAUAAUAAUUCAAACUAGCCUUAGUAAGCAUGUUAUCUCGUAAAACGUUUCAUAAAACGUAAUCAUUAAAUCAUGCUUUUCAUGUAUGCAUUACUACUGUUAAAACAUGCAUUUUUAGAAGGGGUCCAUCACAGAUACUUAGCCGCCAAAGAGUCACGCAAACUAGCGAACAUGGAAUCGUCAUAAACAAUUACCCCUAAGCACAUAAAGGGUUUAAUUAAUAAAACUAUAUAAUAGCAAUUGAAUUUGGGAAAACGGACUUCGUAAACGAAU